GAUGAACGCUGGCGGCGUGCCUAAUACAUGCAAGUCGAGCGAAUGGACGAGAAGCUUGCUUCUCUGAUGUUAGCGGCGGACGGGUGAGUAACACGUGGAUAACCUACCUAUAAGACUGGGAUAACUUCGGGAAACCGGAGCUAAUACCGGAUAAUAUUUUGAACCGCAUGGUUCAAAAGUGAAAGACGGUCUUGCUGUCACUUAUAGAUGGAUCCGCGCUGCAUUAGCUAGUUGGUAAGGUAACGGCUUACCAAGGCAACGAUGCAUAGCCGACCUGAGAGGGUGAUCGGCCACACUGGAACUGAGACACGGUCCAGACUCCUACGGGAGGCAGCAGUAGGGAAUCUUCCGCAAUGGGCGAAAGCCUGACGGAUCAACGCCGCGUGAGUGAUGAAGGUCUUCGGAUCGUAAAACUCUGUUAUUAGGGAAGAACAUAUGUGUAAGUAACUGUGCACAUCUUGACGGUACCUAAUCAGAAAGCCACGGCUAACUACGUG
rnacentral:rRNA from 1 species